CAUAAUCUGAAGGUCGUGAGUUCGA
rnacentral:piRNA from 3 species